rnacentral:rRNA from 1 species
GAUGAACGCUAGCGGCAGGCCUAAUACAUGCAAGACGAACGGUAACUUUGAUAGCAAUAUUGAAGCUAGAGUGUCGUAAGGGUGCGUAACACGUAUGCAAUCUACCCUCAACAGGAGAAUAGCUCCCCGAAAGGGGAAUUAACACUCCGUAAUAUCUUAGUGAGGCAUCUCAAUAAGAUUAAAACUACGGUGGUUAAGGAUGAGCAUGCGCAUGAUUAGUUAGUUGGCGGGGUAAUGGCCCACCAAGACGAUGAUCAUUAGGGGAACUGAGAGGUUGACUCCCCCACACUGGCACUGAGAUACGGGCCAGACUCCGUACGGGAGCUG